UCAAGCUACAAAGGGCUUACGGAGGAUGCCUUGGUACGUGGCGCCGAAGAAGGACGUGACAAGCUGCGAAAAGUUGCGGAGAGGAGCAAAUAUCCAAAGACCCGCAAAUAUCCGAAUGAGGGAACUCCGUACGAGUAACAUCGUGCGAUCCCGUACCGAACAAAAUAGGUACGAGGAGGGGAACUCGGGGAACUGAAACAUCUAAGUACCCGAAGGAAAAGAAAACAACAGUGAUUCCGAAAGUAGUGGCGAGCGAAAUCGGAGGAGCCCAAACCGAAGAUAGAAAUAUUUUAGGGGUAAGGAGCCGCGAGAAGUCAAGAAAGAAUCUAACCGAACUAUCUGGAAAGGUAGAUCAGAGAGGGUGAAAAUCCCGUAGGUGAAAGAGGGAAUAAGGCGAGCGGAAAUCCGGAGUACGUCGGGACACGAGAAAUCCUGACGGAAGGAACGGGGACCAUCCCGUAAGGCUAAAUACGACCACGUGACCGAUAGCGAAUAGUACCGUGAGGGAAAGGUGAAAAGGACCCCGGGAGGGGAGUGAAAAAGAACCUGAAACCGUAAGUUUACAAGCAGACGGAGAGCGUUAAGUGCUCGACGUCGUACUUUUUGUAGAACGGGCCGGCGAGUUACGAUGUGAUGCGAGGUUAAGCGAUGAAGUCGCGGAGCCGAAGCGAAAGCGAAUCUGAAGAGGGUGAGAAGUAUCAUGUCGUAGACCCGAAACCGAAUGACCUAACCAUGAGCAGGUUGAAGCAAUGGUAAAACGUUGUGGAGGACCGAACACACGCCUGUUGAAAUAGUCGGUGAUGACUUGUGGUUAGCGGAGAAAUUCCAAACGAAUUCGGAUAUAGCUGGUUCUCCUCGAAAUAGCUUUAGGGCUAGCCUCGCAUAUGAACCUUGAAGGUAGAGCACUGAAUGACCUAGGGGGCUUCACAGCCUACCGAAGUUUAUCAAACUCCGAAUGUCAAGGUGGAAGAGUGCGGGAGUCAGACAGCGACAGCUAAGUGCCGUUGUCAAAAGGGAAACAGCCCAGAUCUACAGCUAAGGUCCCGAAGUACAGGUUAAGUGGAAAAGGAUGUGACGAUGCAAAGACAACCAGGAUGUUGGCUCAGAAGCAGCCACACAUUAAAAGAGUGCGUAAUAGCUCACUGGUCGAGUGACGUUGCGCCGAAAAUUAACGGGGCUCAAACCUGACACCGAAGCUUAGGAAUACUUUAAAGAGUAUUGGUAGAGGAGCAAUGUAUACGAGAAGAAGGCGUACCGGAAGGAGCGCUGGAUUGUAUAGAAGAGAGAAUGCCGGCAUAAGUAGCGAGAGCGGAGCGAGAAACUCCGCCGUCGAAAGUCUGAGGUUUUCCGGGGAAGGUUCGUCCGCCCGGAGAAAGUCGGGACCUAAGCGGAGGCCGAAAGGCGUACGUGAUGGACAGCAGGUUGAUAUUCCUGCACUACCGAGAGAGUAAAUGAAGCAAUGACACGGAAAGAUAGAAGAAGCGCGCGGAUGGAAAAGCGCGUCCAAGCAAAGAGGGUGGCUGGUAGUAAAGAACGCCAGUCGGAAGCCUGAUUUGUGACGGGGAGUGGACCAAGGAAACGAAGUCUUUGAAUCUACGCCGGCGAGAAAAGUUGCUAAAUGUUUCGAGGUACCCGUACCGCAAACCGACACAGGUAGACGAGAAGAAAAUUCUAAGACGAACGGGAGAACCCUUGUUAAGGAACUCGGCAAAACGACCCCGUAACUUCGGGAGAAGGGGAGCCAUCGAGAGAUGGCCGCAGUGAAGAGGCCCAAGCGACUGUUUAUCAAAAACACAGGUUUCUGCUAAGGCGAAAGCCAAGGUAUAGGAGCUGACUCCUGCCCAGUGCCGGAAGGUCAAGGGGACUUGUUAGUCGAAAGGCGAAGCAACGAACUUAAGCCCCGGUGAACGGCGGCCGUAACUAUAACGGUCCUAAGGUAGCGAAAUUCCUUGUCGGGUAAGUUCCGACCCGCACGAAAGGUGUAACGAUUUGGGCACUGUCUCAACGAGGGACCCGGUGAAAUUGAAGUACCUGUGAAGAUGCAGGUUACCCGCGACUGGACAGAAAGACCCCAUGGAGCUUUACUGUAACCUGACAUUGGGUUCUGAUACAUCACGUACAGGAUAGGUGGGAGGCAUGGAAGCGAGGACGCUAGUCUUCGUGGAGCCGCCGUUGGGAUACCACCCUUGAUGUAUCGGAAUUCUAACCGUAGGAGUAACGAAACUCGGGACAGUGUCAGGCGGGCAGUUUGACUGGGGCGGUCGCCUCCCAAAGAGUAACGGAGGCGCCCAAAGGUUCCCUCAGCGCGGCCGGAAAUCGCGCGAAGAGUGUAAAGGCAGAAGGGAGCUUGACUGAGAGCCAAACACGGCGAUCAGGUACGAAAGUAGGGCUUAGUGAUCCGGUGGCAUCCAAGUGGAAGGGCCAUCGCUCAACGGAUAAAAGCUACCCUGGGGAUAACAGGCUAAUCUCUCCCAAGAGUCCAUAUCGACGGGGAGGUUUGGCACCUCGAUGUCGGCUCAUCACAUCCUGGGGCUGAAGUCGGUCCCAAGGGUUGGGCUGUUCGCCCAUUAAAGUGGUACGUGAGCUGGGUUCAGAACGUCGUGAGACAGUUCGGUCCCUAUCCAUCGCGGGCGCAAGAGAUUUGAAGGGGGCUGCUCCUAGUACGAGAGGACCGGAGUGGACGAACCAAUGGUGUACCAAUUAUCUCGCCAGAGGUAUAGUUGGGUAGCUACGUUCGGAAAGGAUAAACGCUGAAAGCAUCUAAGCGUGAAACCAGCCUUAAGAUGAGAUCUCUCAUAGAGUAAUCUAGUAAGACACCUUGGAGAAGACGAGGUUGAUAGGUCGGGAGUGUAAGUACAGUAAUGUAUUCAGCGGACCGAUACUAAUAUGUCGAGGGCUUGACUUA
rnacentral:rRNA from 1 species